CGAAGGCCUGGUUUUGCACGCACCCUGCCGUUCGAACUUUCAAGCGCGCCAAGGCUCCGCGCCUGCGCAGUGACGGCUUUCGUGCCUUUGUUUACGCUUCCAUUUCCAAAGCGAGACUUCGCCCCCCACGCCUUGCCCCCUUUCCCCUUGCUCGGCGCCAUCUUGUCCUUCCUCCAUCCAACUCUGUGUCGUUUCCUAUCACUCGAAGUCGAGAGGGAAGGAACGCGUGUCUCCAAAAUGGCGUUGGACGGGGCCGCUGUAGCGCUCUGUCUCCUGUGUUCCCAGCGUCUUCAGAGGGAACGGCACCGGCGGCAGCAGGACGUCCGGCGCCGGGCAGCGCUCCUGAGGCGCCGGGCUGCGCGCAGGGCCCUGCGCUUCGCCCUCUUCUUGUUCGCCCAGGCCUUGGGAUAUGGCCGCGCCGGCCACUGCAGGGCCCGGGGCAGUAACGCAGAGGAUGAGGACGGGCGGGCGAGCUGAGUGUCCGUGUCCGCGGAGGACAGCGCUCCCUGUUGCCCCCGCCCCUCGCGGGGCCCAGGCCCUGGGCCACUCCAUGUCCAGAGCCGGCAGCGCCCCCGGAGGUUUAGGUGGGGGGACCGGUUUGGGUGGUGGUAGCGCCGGGGGCAGCCCCCACCUGCUGAUGAGCCGAGGGCGCCCCCUGUGGGUCGGGGCACGCCCCAGCACCUUGGGGGCUGCCCGCUGGGGAAGUUGUGUUGCAGGCAGCCCUGCGGAGGGAAGGGCACCUUGGACGACGCCCUGGCAGAAACCUGUGCCCGUGCAGUCCAGCUCCGGGACACCCGACACGGGGCGCAUGGGCAUCACGCUGUGGCUGCUGCAGGCCUGGUGCCAACAACGCGGUGAGCCACACUUCAGUGUCUCCGCUGUGCAGCCCGCAGGGUCUCAAGUGAUGUUUGCCUGUGAGGUGGUCGUGGCGCCCACAGCAAGCUGGGCUGCCAGGGUGCCCACACAUCCCCUUCUUGGACCCCAGCAAUGAUUCCACUACUGCUUGCAGUCAAGAGGCCCUUUCUAGCCAGGCCCUGGACAGAUCGUCCCAGGGUGCCAUUUGCCCUGCUGCCGGUACAGGGUGCGUGGGCUGAGGCUGAGGGCAUGCUGGUCUCCGGAGCACUGAAGCUACCUCGUGCUGCCUUGAUGAGUCUCGAAGGAGGUUUCUUGGAUGGCCGGCUCCACUGGGGUCGCCCGGUGAACUGAGCAGGCUUGACCCCAGCAGAGGAAGACCGGCAGUCACACAUUGGACAGCAGUUCCUGGAUUCCUGAGACUCGGCCAUAGAAGACACAGAAAGACACAUGACCAGAAACUCGUAGCUUUUAAUUCCGGCAGGACAAAGGGAGACCAAGGGCAACGACUGCUACCGGUUUUCACCCGUCUCUGGCUCCCAGCGGGGAAGGGGAAACUGGUUGGGCGGAAUAAAAAUUGCCACACCCUUC